rnacentral:lncRNA from 1 species
CUGAGGUUUGCGAUGAAGCUAGAUCAUGAAUAGAAGUCUGCUCUAUUCAAUUUCUCUUUUCGAGCUUUUAAAUUUUUAGAAUCCUUCUCCCUUCAUCUCUCUCACUAAGAGACUUGAUGAGCUAUCGUUGGGUUAGAAUCCCUUCAUAGUCCAUGCUUGAUUUAGUGUAAGAGGGGAUGAUUGAUAGAAAGAUCAUAAUUUUCUAAAUCAUUUUUUCUCUUUCCAUGUGG